AAUCCAAAAUAUGACACUUGGGCAUCGGGUCAAGUUGGUGUCAUUUUUCUGACAUCUCCCCGCCAGGGGCCCAGGUUGAAUAUAUGCCCCUAAACUAACUGCCUUGAGUACUAGAAGAAAAGCAAGCACUUAGACCUAACAAAAUGAAGUUAAUACCCAACAUGGUAGUUAUUAUCUUUCUAUCUGCA
rnacentral:antisense_RNA from 15 species